rnacentral:rRNA from 1 species
GAUGAACGCUAGCGGCAGGCCUAAUACAUGCAAGUCGAACGCUCAGUAGCAAUACUGGGAGUGGCGCACGGGUGCGUAACGCGUACACAAUCUACCUCUAAGCGGGGGACACCUCCUGGAAACGGGGAUUAAUACCGCAUAAUAUGCCGAAGUCGCAUGACUUUGGUAUUAAAGCAGCAAUGCACUUAGAGAUGAGUGUGCGUCCCAUUAGGUAGUUGGUGAGGUAACGGCUCACCAAGCCUAUGAUGGGUAGCCGGUCUGAGAGGAUGGUCGGCCACACGGGCACUGAGACACGGGGCCCGACUCCUACGGGAGGCAGCAGUAAGGAAUAUUGGUCAAUGGUGGAAACACUGAACCAGCCAUGCCGCGUGGAGGAAUAAGGUCCUACGGAUUGUAAACUCCUUUUGACGAGGAAGAAAAUAGUUAGAUUUAUCUAAUUUUAGACGGUACUCGUAGAAUAAGCACCGGCUAACUCCGUGCCAGCAGCCGCAGUAAU